AUGUGAGUACCGUGAUUAGAUAAGGAAAGGACAGCCAAAUAAAUGGCAAGAUAGCAAAACACACAAGAGGAUUGUGAGAAAGGAGCAAAGAAAAAACAGGGGUGACAAGAUGAUAUUUGAGGCCAUUUGGAGCAAAGGGACAAAAGUGCUUUUGGGAGGAGUAUGAGUGCUAGGAUAAAAGUUAGAUGGUAGAAGUGACUGGCACUCAUGAUGUUCAAGAGGAACACCUGUGUGAGGCAUUGUCACAGAGAGCAGGGAGUCUGGGCCUGUACUCCUUGCCUUUCAUCACUCUAUCUCCAGAUCCCAGUGUAUUACAGGUGACCAGUAAGAAUUGCCAAUGAAUGGACAGCAAUACCCAUCAAGCUGCCAAGAUUCUCAGACAAGUUCAGCGACAUGGAAGAAACAGACAUCAGCCAAGCAGCCUGAAAGCAGAGGAGACUAGAACUCCCAUGAAGAAUAAAAUUCCUGAAAGAGGCUCAGACCAACUGAGCACCUGGAAAAAAACCUGUUGAGUGGCCUGCAGGCUGUGUAGUGAGCUCCAAGUUCCCAGCUUUGUGAGCUGUCACCCAUAACUUAUGGUACAUGGGUUCCAGCAUAAAAAGCCUAGGACAGAUGACAAAUUGGAUUCAGCCACCUCAGUGUCACAGCAUGGCCCUACUCAGUGUCACAGCAUGGCCCUACUCAACGUUUCAUCCUAAGGCAGAGUUCUUGAAAAAGUUCAGACAAUGAUUGAUAUUGUGAAGGUAAUAACAACAUAGUCACGUUUGGGAGGGGGCUAUAAAAGUCCAAGUUGUUAUAUACCUUGAUGCAUUUUGUCUUUGCCGUAAUAGUAAUAUCAACUGAGUACACAUUAUAACUGACUU